AAAAAAAAUGGGCGCCAACACGCCCAUCUUCUUUUUACCGGUGGUCGCGCCUCGAGCCGCACCUUAACUAAUAAGACGUGUGCCCAGCGACUGCGAAAUUAUAGCGUUUU
rnacentral:sRNA from 1 species